rnacentral:tRNA from 3 species
GGGGCUGUAGCUCAAUUGGGAGAGCGCUUGAAUGGCAUUCAAGAGGUAAGGGGUUCGAAUCCCCUCAGCUCCA